rnacentral:rRNA from 1 species
CAGAGGGUGCGAGCGUUGUUCGGAAUUACUGGGCGUAAAGCGCGCGCAGGCGGCCCUUUAAGUCCGUCGGUCAAAUGCCGGGGCUCAACCCCGAGCGUGCCGAGGAUACUGGAGGGCUGGGGACACGUAGAGGCAAGCGGAAUUCCGGGUGUAGCGGUGGAAUGCGUAGAGAUCCGGAAGAACACCGGAGGCGAAGGCGGCUUGCUGGGCGUGAUCUGACGCUGAGGCGCGAAAGCGUGGGGAGCGAACAGGAUUAGAUACCCUGGUAGUCCACGCCGUAAACGAUGGGCACUAGACGCUGGUGGGAUCGACCCCUUCGGUGUCGCAGCUAACGCGAUAAGUGCCCCGCCUGGGGAGUACGGCCGCAAGGCUG